rnacentral:rRNA from 1 species
UGGGGAAUAUUGCACAAUGGGCGCAAGCCUGAUGCAGCAACGCCGCGUGAGGGAUGACGGCCUUCGGGUUGUAAACCUCUUUUAGCAGGGAAGAAGCGAAAGUGACGGUACCUGCAGAAAAAGCACCGGCUAACUACGUGCCAGCAGCCGCGGUAAUACGUAGGGUGCAAGCGUUGUCCGGAAUUAUUGGGCGUAAAGAGCUCGUAGGCGGUCUGUCGCGUCUGCUGUGAAAUCCCGAGGCUCAACCUCGGGCCUGCAGUGGGUACGGGCAGACUAGAGUGCGGUAGGGGAGAAUGGAACUCCUGGUGUAGCGGUGGAAUGCGCAGAUAUCAGGAAGAACACCGAUGGCGAAGGCAGUUCUCUGGGCCGUAACUGACGCUGAGGAGCGAAAGCGUGGGGAGCGAACAGGAUUAGAUACCCUGGUAGUCCACGCCGUAAACGUUGGGCGCUAGAUGUGGGGCACCAUUCCACGGUUUCCGUGUCGCAGCUAACGCAUUAAGCGCCCCGCCUGGGGAGUACGGCCGCAAGGCUAAAACU